UACCAGCCCCCUGAGUGAUAGGGGUGAUUAUUUAGCCUAAAGCGUUCGUAGCCGGCUCAGCAAGUCUUUCGUUAAAUCUGACGACUCAAUCGUUAGCCUGCGGGAGAUACUACUGGGCUUGAGGGUGGGAGAGGUUGACGGUAUUUCCAGGGUAGGGGUGAAAUCCUAUAAUCCUGGGAGGACCACCAGUGGCGAAGGCGGUCAACUAGAACACGCCUGACGGUGAGGGACGAAAGCUGGGGUAGCGAACCGGAUUAGACACCCGGGUAGUCCCAGCCGUAAACGAUGCGGGCUAGGUGUUGGAGCAGCCACGAGCUGCUUCAGUGCCGCAGAGAAGUCGUUAAGCCCGCCGCUUGGGAAGUACGAUCGCAAGAUUGAAACUUAAAGGAAUUGGCGGGGGAGCACCACAAGGGGUGAAGCCUGCGGUUCAAUCGGAGUCAACGCCGGGAAACUUACCAGGGCUGACAGCAGAGUGAAGGCCAGACUGAAGAUCUUGCUCGACAAGCUGAGAGGUGGCGCAUGGCCGUCGACAGUUCGUGCCGUGAGGUGUCCUGUUAAGUCAGGAAACGAACGAGACCCUCGCUACUAGUUGCUACCAGAUCCCAACGGGAUGCUGAGGACUCUAGUAGGACUGCCGUCGACAAGACGGAGGAAGGAGUGGGCAACGGCAGGUCGGUAUGCCCCGAAUGCCCUGGGCCACACGCGGGCUGCAAAGGUAGGGACAAUGGGCUCUGACCUCGAAAGGGGGAAGCAAUCCCGAAACCCUAUCGUAGUUGGGAUUGAGGGCUGUAACCCGCCCUCAUGAACCUGGAAUCCCUAGUAAUCGCGCGUCAUCAUCGCGCGGUGAAUACGUCCCCGCUCCU
rnacentral:rRNA from 1 species